ensembl:snRNA U6 U6 spliceosomal RNA
GUGCUUGCUUUGGGAAAACAUAUACUAAAAUUGGAAAGAUACAAAGAAAAUUAUUAUGGCCCACGUGAAAGCAUGACAUACAAAAUCAUGAAGCAUUCCAUAUUUUU